CAGCAAUGUUAUCAACAGCUCUUUGCCACGGCAUCUGACCUCCAGCCAGCCCCAGCCUGUGGCCAGGAAGAAGGAAAAAAAUACUAAUUUUGAAAGUGCUGGCUUUCCAGUGCAAGUGCGAAGCACAUGAGGAAAUGAGAGUCUUUCCGGACUCCAUGGAGUAGGCACCGUGGAAGACUGCAGCAGAGCGGCAGCAGCUUACCUCCCCUAGAGGAGAGGUUCGAGGGAAAUCACAGAAGAGAAGGAAGUUAUAGCAGGAGCAGAACAGAUGAAGCAUCUACCUCCAUCACCACCACCCUCCAUGAAGCUCAGAGUGCAUUGGAAAGUUAUCCAUUAAACAGUGGGUGUCCCUCAACAAACCUGACUAUUCAGCAAGCUUGCCAGGUUGUUCUACCAGUUCCAUGGCACUCGGAAUGUGGCAGAGAGUCAAAGCAAAACUGCCUACUCAGCUUAAGGCAACUGGCUAACCCCAGGAAUAGUGUGACAUUUCAAGAUGCGAGAUAUUAAAGGAGCACAUCAGUAAAGGACCUACUAUGUCAAGAAAAAGCCCAUCUGUCUGUCGGUGGUUUUCACUCAGAACAUUUUUUCAAGAUGAAUUUAUCUUCCUAAGGAAAUAUAUGCUGCAGCCACUUUUAUCCAAGGCUGUGUUGACCCCUUCACAAUAUAGGAUAUAGAUUUGCUUUCUGUUUUCUCAAUCUGAACCUCAAAUCUUCAAAUCUUAGUACAGUUUUGCUUAAUCAAAAUCUAUCUUUUGUUCUUUCCCUUCCUGCAGCUUAUCUUUUUUUUUUCCUCCAUCAUAUCCAUGCCUACAAAAAAGCUUUGUUGAGCACCUUACUACAUGUCAGGC
rnacentral:lncRNA from 1 species